rnacentral:rRNA from 1 species
UACGUAGGGGGCGAGCGUUGUCCGGAUUUAUUGGGCGUAAAGGGCGUGUAGGCGGCUUCUUAAGUCGGGGGUGAAACUCCAGGGCUCAACCCUGGACCGGCCUCCGAAACUGGGGAGCUUGAGUGCUCUAGAGGGCAGUGGAAUUCCCGGUGUAGCAGUGAAAUGCGUAGAGAUCGGGAGGAACACCAGUGGCGAAGGCGACUGCCUGGGGGGUAACUGACGCUGAGGCGCGAAAGCUGGGGGAGCAAACGGG